rnacentral:tRNA from 1 species
GCCCGGGUGGCGAAAUUGGUAGACGCACCGUCUUCAGGUGGCGGCGCUGCGAGGUGUGCUGGUUCGAAUCCAGUCCCGGGCACCA